rfam:Myotis brandtii contig229581, whole genome shotgun sequence.
GGUGGUUCUCAGGUGACAUACACUGGAAUCGGACUACCUCCUCUCUGGUUCUGGGUGUGUCACCCAAGAACCGCU